GGAGCAGCUGUCGCUCCCGACGCGAUAAAAGGGAGACCGUGUGUGUCACCUGAAGAUCCUGAUGGGGAAGUUGGAUGGCCCCCUUCUCUCACGGGUGCCGUAAAAGGAGAGGCACGUGCAUUGUCGCGGUAUCCAAGCAAAUUACGUCGAUCAAAAUGUACAGGAAAGACAAUGCCGAAACAGCAGACAAGUAAGAAUCUAAUUAAUCCUGGCAAAGAGGACACGAUGUCACAGGCAACUACUUUUGGCGGUUCUGCGCAGUGCUCAUCGGCGUGAUUUGUAACCUGUGCAAAGAGGCAAGGCGCAAAGGGCAUACGUGACACUUUCGGGUUCAUCACACACGCCAGAGUGCAGAGGAAAAAAUGAAUUAUACUUCUACGUCGUCCUAGUUUUCUAUGAGGUACAAACCCUUGUAUAGGGGAACCAGCUUGGUCCAGGGAAAAGGUUCGAAUUUGGUGACAGCUGAUUGGAAAACAGUUUACGCGUACAACGCGCGAAGCGCGCCAAACCUCGCCGGCCUCGAGACUGGGAGGUACCCGG